AUUGAACGCUGGCGGCAGGCUUAACACAUGCAAGUCGAGCGGGGUGAUGGUGCUUGCACUAUCACUUAGCGGCGGACGGGUGAGUAAUGCUUAGGAAUCUGCCUAUUAGUGGGGGACAACAUCUCGAAAGGGAUGCUAAUACCGCAUACGUCCUACGGGAGAAAGCAGGGGAUCACUUGUGACCUUGCGCUAAUAGAUGAGCCUAAGUCGGAUUAGCUAAUUGGUGGAGUAAAGGCCUACCAAGGCGACGAUCUGUAGCGGGUCUGAGAGGAGGCUCCGCCACACUGGGACUGAGACACGGCCCAGACUCCUACGGGAGGCAGCAGUGGGGAAUAUUGGACAAUGGGGGGAACCCUGAUCCAGCCAUGCCGCGUGUGUGAAGAAGGCCUUAUGGUUGUAAAGCACUUUAAGCGAGGAGGAGGCUCUUUUGGUUAAUACCCAAGAUGAGUGGACGUUACUCGCAGAAUAAGCACCGGCUAACUCUGUGCCAGCAGCCGCGGUAA
rnacentral:rRNA from 1 species